rnacentral:rRNA from 1 species
UGGGCAACCUGCCCUCAGCUCUGGGAUAACUCCAAGAAAUUGGGGCUAAUACCGGAUAUGACCGCUGACCGCAUGGUCUGGUGGUGGAAAGAUUUUAUCGGCUGGGGAUGGGCCNCGGCG